AGUACUAAUUCAAAAACCUUUUGACUUUUGUAUGUUAGAUCCCAUCUUCCAAUUUUCAAUUGUUUAGUCCAUUUCUUUGAUUUUCCUACAAUAUCCCAAGAAAAAAAAAUUUUCUUUCCAAGAGAUUAGGGUUUAGAACAUCUAUUUGGAAAAAUCUCUAUCACCACUAGCCAUGGCCUCUCAGAUGUGAUAUGUGGGGAAAAAUCUCUAUCACCACCUGCCAUGGCCUCUCAGAUGUGACCUAUGGAACCAAUGAUUUGACUGUAUUUUCUAGCAAAAAUGUUUGUUUGGAAGAAAAAUAGUCUCUUUAACAUCUUGACUUUCUCUAGUUUCCUCCUAGAUCC
rnacentral:lncRNA from 1 species